AACGAGACCUUAACCUGCUAAAUAGCCCGUAUUGCUUUGGCAGUACGCUGGCUUCUUAGAGGGAACAACAGCUCAAGCCGCACGAAGUUUGAGGAGAUAACAGGUCAGUGAUGCCCAGAGAAGAAAAGGAAAAAACGAGCAAGUAAAUGACGGAGCCAACGAGGGCGCACGAGACCGGAAGGGCCGGGUAAUCUUGUGAAACUC
rnacentral:rRNA from 1 species